rnacentral:rRNA from 1 species
GUAAAGAGCUCGUAGGUGGUUUGUCGCGUUGUUCGUGAAAUCUCACGGCUUAACUGUGAGCGUGCGGGCGAUACGGGCAGACUAGAGUACUGCAGGGGAGACUGGAAUUCCUGGUGUAGCGGUGGAGUGCGCAGAUAUCAGGAGGAACACCGGUGGCGAAGGCGGGUCUCUGGGCAGUAACUGACGCUGAGGAGCGAAAGCGUGGGGAGCGAACAGGAUUAGAUACCCUGGUAGUCCACGCCGUAAACGGUGGGUACUAGGUGUGGGUUUCCUUCCUUGGGAUCCGUGCCGUAGCUAACGCAUUAAGUACCCCGCCUGGGGAGUACGGCCGCAAGGCUAAAACUCAAAGGAAUUGACGGGGGCCCGCACAAGCGGCGGAGCAUGUGGAUUAAUUCGAUGCAACGCGAAGAACCUUACCUGGGUUUGACAUGCACAGGACGCGUCUAGAGAUAGGCGUUCCCUUGUGGCCUGUGUGCAGGUGGUGCAUGGCUGUCGUCAGCUCGUGUCGUGAGAUGUUGGGUUAAGUCCCGCAACGAGCGCAACCCUUGUCUCAUGUUGCCAGCGGGUAAUGCCGGGGACUCGUGAGAGACUGCCGGGGUCAACUCGGAGGAAGGUGGGGAUGACGUCAAGUCAUCAUGCCCCUUAUGUCCAGGGCUUCACACAUGCUACAAUGGCCGGUACAAAGGGCUGCGGUGCCGUAAGGUUAAGCGAAUCCUUUUAAAGCCGGUCUCAGUUCGGAUUGGGGUCUGCAACUCGACCCCAUGAAGUCGGAGUCGCUAGUAAUCGC